rnacentral:rRNA from 1 species
AUUGAACGCUGGCGGCAGGCCUAACACAUGCAAGUCGAACGGUAACAGGAAGAAGCUUGCUUCUUUGCUGACGAGUGGCGGACGGGUGAGUCAUGUCUGGGAAACUGCCUGAUGGAGGGGGAUAACUACUGGAAACGGUAGCUAAUACCGCAUAACGUCGCAAGACCAAAAAGGGGGACCUUCGGGCCUCUUGCCAUCGGAUGUGCCCAGAUGGGAUUAGCUAGUAGGUGGGGUAACGGCUCACCUAGGCGACGAUCCCUAGCUGGUCUGAGAGGAUGACCAGCCCCACUGGAACUGAGACACGGUCCAGACUCCUACGGGAGGCAGCAGUGGGGAAUAUUGCACAAUGGGCGCAAGCCUGGUGCAGCCAUGCCGCGUGUAUGAAGAAGGCCUUCGGGUUGUAAAGUACUUUCAGCGGGGAGGAAGGGAGUAAAGUUAAUACCUUUGCUCAUUGACGUUACCCGCAGAAGAAGCACCGGCUAACUCCGUG